UCAUGGGGCAGAGCUUCUCUGAGGUAGAGGCAAUCCCUGGAUACUUCUGAACCCAGUGAGGUAUCCCUGUGUCCUUUGGGGACAAGCUAGAGACUGAGGGAUGGAGAUAGCCUGAGGACCUGGCCUGUCCUUUCACUCUGUAUCAGUGUGACACACUUCAGGCUUUUUCACAGCUCGCUCUCACCCCUCAGCAAGGCCAUUGAGAUCUUGGAGAAGGAGGCAGGCACUGCCUUGCCUUCUCUUGGUCCCUCUAUUCACCCAUCUCCUCCUUGUCACCCUUGUCAUCUCCUCUGCAGAGGUAGCAGUAUGAUGUGACAAGAUUGCAAAUAGUUUUGGCGCAAGAGUCCUGCUUUCUUUUUUCCUUCCCUCUGCAGGGACAUGUAGCCAAGAAAGUGUCAACUGCAUAACUCUGCCCCAACAGAGCCCGACAAAGUCCCCCAGCCAAAGCAACCGAAUGGGAUAUGUGAUGGAGCUGGGAACUUGUCCUUAUCGGCUGCCUUAUGCAUCCAACAACUCAUAAAAAGCCCGGCAUGAAAACAGCUGUAACCGCGAUAGCUCAGUCCUAUCUGAGAAAAGGCACUCAAUUCCCUGACUGUUUAUUUCAUCUACACAACAGUUGUGUAACGUCAUGCUGCUCUGUCCUGAUCUAAUUCUGCAGAGCUACAGUCAUCCUUGUUAAGGUCAUUUUGAGACUAUUGAAUCCUUGGACCGGGCUAUUUUUUUUUCACUGGUUACAUCCGUAUGACUUGAUUUUCUAUUGAAAUCACUCAGCUGAAGCCAAGGAGGACAUCCGAGCUGAGAAUGAGGCUCGGUCUCAUGCUCCCCAAACAGGACCUUGAGACCUAACGCUUCAAAACCUGCUUGUUUGCCAAAACUGAAACCAAGCAGGAGGCAGAUGGCUUGAAUAAAAUAAAUUCCCCAGAUUUUCAGUACAUAUAGGGGAGAAGUUUGAGUCUCUGCAAAGGAUGGAUUGAAGAAUUUUAGUUUGCAUACUGUAGUGCAACAUUUUUUGUGUAUGUUGCUCUUCCUUUUCCAAUUUUGUUAGAAGGUAAGCAAGGAAAAUUUAGACUUAGGAAAUUGGUUUUCAUUGAGUUACAAGUACAUCAGUACAGAAAUGUUCACUUAUUACCUGGACAAUUUAUAGUGACCUUUAUUCUGUUGUGCUCCAAUAUCCUUUUGUUUAGUUUGUUUUCUGUGUAGUAAGAAUUCAGUUAAUUUUUAACAAUAAAUACAAGAAGCACAGAUACAGGUUUUAUAAAAGCAGCUUGCAUAGCCACUGAGAAUGACACUUAAAUGUAAUAACCAAUGUGAUGAAGAAAUUAAGAAAGUGAAUAUGUAGCAUAGAUUAAAUUAGGUCUAAAAUGUGCAUGUAAGCUUAGUUCUGGCAUUUUCCCUGGCAUAGUGUUUUUGGACAUCGUGUUGUUUUCUUACUGCCAAGCAGUGCUGAGACAAAUAUGUCAAAAGAUAAUCAUCGAAACACUAACUCUACACCUUGAUUUGUGCUCAGGUAAGCAUGUAACUGUGUGCAAUGAUUCUCACAAUCAGAAAUGAACACAUGAAACGUUCAGUUUUCAUUUAAUUGUGUUGCAAACAAAAUCAUAAAUCUCAGGGAACAGGGUUGAGAGUCAGUGAUCCUCUAAACUAUUUGCUGCCCCAAGGGAGGAUGAACUUCUUUUAGGCAGUUCUUGAAGAUACGAUUUUAAGGUGUUUUUUAAAACAACCUCCCAUGGUGAAGAACCCAAGACUUCCUUGUGCAGGUGAUGUCUUUGCUUUAUCAGUCUUCUGAUGGAAAUUACUACCCAUUCCCCUGACGUUACAUGCAGGGAGCAAGUCACAACAACAGGGCUGUCUGGCCAACUCAGAGGCUGCUGGUGCUGGCUCAGAACUGAUCCAUUCUGAUGCAACCAAGGAACAUCCUUUCACCCGCCAUCCUUCUCCCCACUGCACACAUGGAACAACAAAUGGUAUCUAAAUAUACAACAAGCGAUGGAUGCAACAAGCAGAUGGUGGGAGAACAAGGACCCAGAUCCAUUAGCAGAAAUCUGGAUCAACUCGCAGAUGAUUCACCAACGCAAAUCAGAGGUCAGUGGGACUAAUCCCAGAACAAGACACUCUGCUAUGUGAGAUCUUCAAGCAGGUCCAAGGAUUUCCAGAGAUGAAAAAGGAAAUGGAAAAAGGUGGCACUGGUCCCAGAAGGUGAAGUUUGCCCUGGAUGCAACUUCUGUGAAGUGAUUUGCAUAACUCUGCUCAUUUUUUUCUCUUAAGACUCUAAAACUCAUUUUGGCUACACUCUGCACCAGGUUUAUCCAGGCAUGUAUCUGGUCUUGUUCUUCACUUGUCCUGUAAGGAGUAGCAUUGGGUGCCAUUUAGUGGUGAAAAUCAGGUUGGAAUGAGGUCUCUGAACGAAUGGACCAAGUCCUUGCUGGAGUCUGGGAUGAUAAACUCUGUGACCAUCUAGAGAGGGCAUCUUCUCAGUGUUAUUGUCACAGCAGGCCAGUCUAAGGAAUUUUCAUUGUUGCUCAAUAUCAGAACUUGCAACUACACAGAGACAGUACCAGUUAAAUGAAACAUUCACCUAAAUAGGCCUGUUUCUGAGUUUUUAGAGUCUUUUAGAGUUUUGUUUGUUUGUUUCUUUGGGCUUUAGCUUGUAUUCUGUGCUCCUCAUUUGGUGUUUUGAGCUCUCGUUUCAUUAAGAGAUAAAAGAAAAAGGAGAAUAAUUAAAGAGAAUCAGCAGAUUUUCCGUUAAACCCUUGAAGUGAAAAUUAGUUGGAAAUGCUCAAUAAUAUGUAGGCUGAGUUUCAGAUUUAUCUUACUUUCUUUAGUGGUCUAAGAGUUAGGCUUUUAGUCUAGACUAUUUCUGUCAUUAGUAGCCAUAGACACAGGAAAGACACAGACCUCUCCAGAGGCUGCUGUCUAAGAUGAUGUAUCAUUAAUUGAAUGGUCUCAUGAGCACGUCUUGUGCUUGAAGUGACACAAAUACCUAAAUGACUGACUAGGAACUACAAUUAUUAGCAAUUAAAGUUGGUAUUCCUUGGUUAUGAUGGCACGCAAAGACUGUUUAUGCUAGAGAAUCUGAGUCAACUUUCACUGUAGAAAUCUAUACCUACACGUUUACAGUAGAAACAAGUUCUCUUCCAAACCUCCUUUUGGCAGCAGUUUACUUAAACUGUUCUUAAAAUCUGCAGUAAUGGAGAAUCUGUCAUCCAUGUAGGUGACUCAGUGCCAUGCCUACCAUAAUCUUGUACUAAGAUACUUUUCCAGAGUAUCUUUGUACUUUACUCUUUAGCAGAAUUUCUUAUGGUUUUAACUGAUGUACAUAUUUAUUUCCCAUCUUUAAAGCCCAGAAUGAACAUUUUUUAUUACCUUGUUUGAUCUCCUGACAAUAGUUGUCUACAGAAUUACACCUUUCUAUUCCUGAAUUUACCAUUCAAACAUAAUGUAUGCAUUUCAUAAGGACAACCAACCUUGGAUAAGGUUGAAGGAGUGAAAUCCAAUCAACUCCUGAUUUAUGUUUUUUACAAAUACAGAAAAUUUGAAGAAAAGUGAAUUUAAAAUUUAAAAUUUAAAAAAGAAAUGCACCUUUUUUUCCCCCAGAAUAACAUAAACGGGACUGUUCAACUCUGUUGCUUCUCAGCUACUGAUCUGCUGCUCUGACCUUGUAACCAGAGAAGACUGUGAGCCCUGCAUUUGUCUUUGAAGACUGCUAAUAAUUAAAUCCUAUUGUUUCAUUGAAACAGAACAUGACUCUCACGAUUUGUAACCAGAAGCAGUAUAGCUGCAAAGAACAAUGUUGGAUAAACAUGCCCUUCAAAGAUCAAAGCAUGGAGGGCUUUGUCAAUUAAGAAAAAAAAUCAGCAUAGCUAAACUGCUCUUUCUCAGCAACUUUGUGCGGUUUCACAUCUGAGGCUGCCUAGAUUGGAUUGCUUUCAUUUCACAGUCUCAAGGGCAUCUUUAUUCCCCAAAAGUGCGUGGAGAAGCUGGCACACCCUGGUGUGAGUUGUGAGGCUGCGGGCACAGGGAUAGAGCAACCCCCUCAUCACUAAUUAAACGUUCAAAGGAUUCAUACUCUCCCCAAGCAGCACAUCUUUGUGACAUUAAAUAAAAAUCAGCCUUGAAGAGAAAACACACACACAAUGUGUUCAACAAGGCAACAGGCAAGAGGCUAACAGCAGAAUUUGACUUUGUAGUGGCACUGUUUGCUUUCAUUUCUUUCUUGUGAGAGCCCUUCCCUUCUCCAUGGCUUUCCACCAGAGAGUUUGUUCUCCUCACCACCAUCAGAAACUCUUCUCUGAUGCCACUUUGGUCAUGCAGCUCCAAGAGGAGAUAGGGGAAGCCAGAGUUGCUUAAGGACUUCACCCCUUCCCAUGAAUGGCCAUGGCACUUAUGGCUAGCACAACCUUCUCAAGUUAAUCGCUAUGAUGUGACUCUCCCUAGCUGUUUCCUGGUGGCCCAGAAAGGGUCAUAGCGAAAGGUUGGCAUGGCUAUUCAGUAUUUCAUACCAUUUUCUGUCUCUGUUGAAAAAUUUCCUUGGACGUGAUGUGUCCCUUGCUGAAAUGUCUCUACUUGUGCAAAGACCAGGUCACUGCUGAGAAGGACAGAUUGCAUUCUCCAUGGCUUGACCCUUCUGGUGGGAUUUGUGGGGCGCAACCCAUACAUACAUUCAUCUCUUAAACUUCUCGAGUGUCUCUUGUCCCAGUGCACGUGUGUAUGGGCAUGCUCCCAGCACAUAUGGGUCAUACAUGGUUGGAACAAUCCCUUCUGCAGAAGUGUAGACCUGGAACUUUCCUCUUGUCUAUAUAGAGGUCCAGGUGGACCACCUAGCUAUGGCAUAUGAGUCCCGAAGCAAAAGACAGGUUGUCCUGCAGAGAGCCUUGCUGGAGGUCAGGAUGAGGUAGGAGCAGGUUGUAUAAGACAGAGGUGAAACUGGGCAGGUCACAAAUCAACAGUGAUGGUCUUAUCCACUCAAUGUUAAGUAAACACAUUCUGGAAGAGAAUUUGUUUGCUUUCUCCCAUCCAUCGAAACAGCAGUCAAGUAGAGGAGCCCCUUUUGGAAAGGACUUAGCAAAGUGCAGGGUGAAAUCUGCUUUCACGGGGUUUUUACGCAAUGGUACAUGUGUGGGUGUCUUUUCUGGUGUCACUUGUCUUUGCAGAAUCAGCUACCAAAGGUAUCAGUCAUGGUCCUCCUUACUCCUUUGCUGUGAUGAGUUUUCCUUGUAGCCCUCUCCCAGCACUAAACAAAUUUCUGAAGCAUAGAGGUAAGAGAUGAGACUCAUUAAGGCCCACCCAGACCAUCUUAUUGUCUGCUCUGCUGUUCUUCUCAGAACUCCCUGAAUUGUCUUGUCUUGCCUGGGUAAUAAGGCUAAUGAUACAUCUUUAUGCAAAGGUGAAUUUGAUCCAUUUUCACAUUAAAGAAGGGUGAAUUGAGGAAGACCUAAAACAGAAUUAACAAAAUCAUGCUGAAAUCUUGCAGCAGCACUGUCUCAUGCAUAGCUCUGUGCUUUCUGCUGUAGAUCAUGGUACCUCAGCUUGAGAGGGAAUGAAUGAGCUUCAGCUCUGUGUUUUUAAAUUGAGGAAUAAGAGUUCAUUAGCACGUUAUUGCAAUACAAAUGCAGCAUAGAGAAAAAGAUGACUGAUUUUUCCGGUGGUAAGGAAAAAAGGAAGUCUUCAUAACUGUACCGCUCUCCUUUUCCUUGUAUUUAAGUUAGAGGGUGGAUCUUCAGCUUACAUUGAACUGUGGUUCUUCAUUCUUCAUGGCAUUGGGUUUGCAAUGGACAUGCAACCAGAUUACUCAGGGUUACAUGUGCAAAGAGAGCUAUGCCUUCAAAUGUUCCCUUUCCCUUGCACAUAGGAGCAAAUGUCUGGUGGAGAGUGGAGAUUGUAUCUUUUUUGAACUUAGAUAUGACAAGGAGGUUUUAAUCUGAAAUAGGGAAGGAAAAAGCUCUUUUAUUCUGAGGAGGAGGAUAGUUUUGUUCCCCUUAUAUCUUGUCCUUUUGGAGUCCAGUGCUGCUAUUAUGUGUGCCUGGACUUAGAUUUAUGAAUGCAAUGAGAGAAAUGUAAAGCAUGUACUGUUGAACCUAUGCGCAAGAGAGCUAUGUAACCCAGGAGCCUGCUAAAGAAUUACAGGUAUUUUUGUUUGCUAUACCUUUAGAUAAAGCAGAGCUAGGCCAUUCUGGUUCCUGUUUAUACUUAAUUUUUAUUUUCCAGUUCUUAGGCAUUAUGAUUCCACUUCAGAGAAUGUUUUACAUUUUCCUUGAAAUAAAUUUCUUUCUCCAUCUUCCUGCCUGCUAAAGACAAAAUCUUACUUCAGUGAGUUAAAUUCUAAUGCCAGUUAAACCAAGGAAAGAAUCUGGCCCAUAAAUUUUGACAAAUGAUGGUCAUUUUAAAAAGUAAAACAUACACAUUGUGUCUAAACACAGUUGACCUCAUUCCCCUCUGCUGUCCUGAUGUUCAGCUGCUUGGAAAGUUUCCUCCAGGGAGAACCUUUAUUAAAUGAUUUGUGCUUCUUUUACAUUUUAUUCCAAAUUAUCUCACUCCCUCAUUUUAUUUCAUCUUCGGGCUGGCUGCUUGCUACAGCUAAUUUGGUUGUCCUUGCUGGGACUGCCAUAAAUACUCUUUCCCAGUAGUACUUUGUAAGCUGAAUUAGUCAAGUGAUCUUGGCUAUAACAUUCAAGAAAACAGUCGAUAAGCUUAAAGAUGAGGAGAACUUUAUGCUUGGAGACACCGGUUUAAAGUCACCCAUAAAGGUGCAUGAGCAAAAAGUGCUGACAAGGCCAAAACAUAGAUGCUAAAAUUGUGACCUUCAGCAUUGUAUUAGGAGGGAUAAUUGUUCACUCACUCCUCUCCCUACAAUGACUGUAUUAAAGCACGAUAUUCUCUUUGGAAUUAUUAACAAGGACCCUUCCACAAAAAUAGAUGAAAUAUCAGAUUAAAAGCAAGGAGAAAUUCAAAGACAGAUCAUUGAAGCCCACAGGAGUCUCCAGGUGAACUGUGUCCCUGUUCUUCUCUGGCCAUGAAGCAGAGAGGGUGACGACCCACCUGGGGCAAGUGGUACCAGAGUCACCCAAAGCCAUGGAAAACCUUUUUCUUGAUCUCUGUAUUUUCUUUCCCCUGACAGUACCUAGAGCUUUAAUCUGUCCAGAGCUGUGGCUCUUGGAUGGGAGUCACGGUUGGAUAAAUCUGCUGUUGUCUUCAGCUUGGCACAGAUUUACUCUUCCCCCUCAGAAUUAUCAGUGAUCACCACAGCACGUGGUCCUAUGUUGAUCGAGGCAGUCAGGGUCUACAGUUGCCGUUACCAUGUUCUCAUGUGUUUCUCUUACAAGGUUGAAGCUCCUGCUUUUGUUUUAAAGCUGGGUGAACACUUCAUUCACUGAAACCUAAUUCUGGGGUAGCGGAAGGUGACAACAGGGAUGGAAUUAUUUGUGACUGGGUAGAAUGGAUUAAGAGUUUUCAGUCAAAAAUUCCCUUUUUUUUUAUUCUUCCAGCCAAGCACCAGUUGUAACAUUUGAUUUCAACAUUUUGAAAAGCGAACGUUCUUCCUUUGCACUUGUAAAGCAAUUGUUUACAAGUGUGAAGUUGCCAAUACUUCAUUUAAAAAGGUUAAGAAAACCAGUAAAAAUGCCCCAUCAUCCACACAAAAUGUUUGGACUUGAAGUAUCUCUCUCAAUUUAAUUUCAAAAAUAUUGCUUCUUCCCCCCCCCCAAUUUAACCAAUAUGCCUUUCCUCCAUUCAUCCUCCCCAAAAGAGUUUGCAAAAUCAAUUAUUCCAGCAGUUUACUCAAAUCUUUUGAGACAUAGUGGACAGAUCCACUUUAACGUCAAGGCUGAAUUUAAAUAAAAAAGUUUGCUAAUACUUAAUUGAAAAUCUCAGACUUUAUUCUGAUGAGAAAGGUGAACUAUUUUCAGUUUGAUAUCUAAACUGCAGGGUGAGAAGUAUUAAAAUAGCAGUAUUUGUUGUAGAUUCAAAAGUAUGUAUUUGCUUAGCUCUCCUGUACCACACAGGGUAAGCUGGGUUUUAUCUUUACGUGAGCUUUCUUAUUGUUGAAAUAUAAGUCUAUUCAUUUUACAGUAUACUUGGAAAAUUCUAGGGUGCAAAAAUGUAUGGCAUGGCGUAAACAUGAUCUGAGACAUUUUGGGUGCAAGCAACAAUUUCACUUUUCUUGUAGCAGAUGACAAUGCUUGAGGUUAGAACAAGAAGCACCUGUUGCCUGUGCUGUAACAUCUCCUGCAAAUAGCUUCUUAUUUGUGGCACUGAUAUAAAGGCUGUGUUUUAUGGAGCUUACCCAACCAGCUUUUCUAUGUCAGGUUAUCACAGAUACAUUUUUUCCAAUUCAUUUUGAGACCAACUGCUGUUAAGAAGCUGUAAAAAGGGAUGUAACUAGCUCCUUUCGCUUCCAUUCAGACAGUUUGAAUAAACCCACAUUUCAGCCUUUUAUGGUUCUCUUUCCAUUAUACUUAUUUUAUUUUUCUCCAUGGGGAUUGAGCCACUUUAUUCAGGUCACUUUCUGCAAUAUCAUGUUAACCCAUUAAGAUGUCAAUUUAUUGUCCAUUCAGUCCAGAUGCCUGUCCUUUCCCCCUAAAAAGCACAGUCUUUUCAGUAAGCUGUCCGUUCUGCUGCAUGUUCAAAGACCUUUGUGGAUCUCCUUACCUUCUCAUUAAAUCUCACUGAAGAACAGUUGCCUUGGAAACCAGGGAGCUGAUCCAGCCAAGGGACCGAGCAUCUUCACCUUGCCUUGACUUUGGUGGGAGGUGAAGCCAUGCAGCACUUCUGAAAGGACACUUAGUACCUGGCCACCGUAGGCACUAAUUACUGUUUUGCUCUAGUUUCAGGAUGAUGGGAAAUUAUGCUGGUCCCUACAUCCCCUUCUAUCCUCUGCAUGAAAAACAGAAGAUAGAAAGGGGGUUGAAACAACUGAUGCCUUUCUGGCACCUGUGAACUCAUUUGUAAUUGAAGAAACUUUGGAAAUGUGAAUGCAUUCUGAGUAUUAUUCAAAAGAACAAGGUGUUUCUGAGCAUCUAAGAGGAUCCAACUUUCUUUUGAGGUUAUUUAUAAUGUGUCAGUGCAUUUGUAAGGGAGCUACCAGGGUUGCUACAGACAUGGAGUGAAAAAACAGUUUGGAUUAAAAAGCAAGGAAAACCAAAUAAACAGCAAAUCUUAGAUGUUCUUUGAGAUAAGAGACAACAUCUCUCCAAGGACUCAGCCAAUGUAAGCACCAAAUCUUAGCAUUUCCAAGAAAAACAUCGCAGACUUUGGAAAGCUGCCAGUGAAGAAAUUAGCCUAAGCAGUCCUAGUGGAAAAGAGAGUUUUGCAGGAGAAGACAAAAUCUGCCUCGUUCUUAGUUGGGGGUUUCAGUGUUUCAUUGGUGCUUUCUCCUGCUCCUUAUGUGGUGGCACUAAAAGGUCCAUGUGGUGUAUAUCUGGGAGGAUGCUUCCCUUUUGACUGAAGGUCAUAUCAGAGCUUUUUGCCUCCAAAACAAGGUUUGCUCCUAUGGGUUACAGGUCUUUUUCUGGGCUGUCCCCACAAGGAAUAUAGAAUCAUAGACCCAUAAAAUCAUUUGUGUUGGAAAAGACCUUUAACAUCACCAUCUUCUCAUCCAAACGCAACAUACAAUACUUUGACUCACUUUCCUUGAUGGCAACCCAGAGUGGUAAACGCUCAGAUAACUUCUGCUGAUCCCAGGUUGUUUCAGAUACUGAAGAUGGUCAAGACAUUUUGCAGAACAUCUCCAAGAAUAUUUUUUCAGACUUUUCUUGACAUUUUUGGUGUUUAUUCUCAAAUACAUUUUCAUUUAUUUUCUUCCUUUUAUAUUCAGUUGUGCUUCAUUGACUUGACGCAAUAACAGGGGACUUUCAGGGCCGUACUAACCCUUAGGGGUCGGGGAUCUGAAUUCCAUGCUCUGCUGUACUCUCAUAUUCUCUCCAGUCUUGGGCAAGCUGAGAUUGGACCAAGUGCCCAGUCUUACCUUAAAUAUAAGGGUAGAUUAAUUGCUGAAGUGCAAAAUGUCUGGACAGAAGUCUGUUGCUUACAGUAGAUGGCACUGGGGAGGAGGCAGGUCAGGAUCCAUGUGUUGCAGGGAUUUACACCUCCAAAAGAGGCUUUUUGUACUGCCAAAUAAUACGCUUCUAAUUAAAGCUGCUGCUGCAAAUCUCUAAUCUGAUAACACAUUGUGCGGGAAGCAAGGAGACAUCUGUUCAUAUGAACACAUCAAUAUUAAGGUGGAUUCUUGAUGCAAAAUUCUCCCCAUGCUGUAUAAUAAUGCCACUGGCAGAAAAGAUCUCCCGCAUUAGUAUCUGGCAGCAAAUGUUUUGCAACAGGAGCAUGUAUUCCACGGAGGAUUGUGUGAAUGUAAGAUCUAAUUUCCCCUGGCAAAGCAUCCAUCAUGUGUGUGAACUUUUCGUGGAAGAUAAUAAUACCUCCCAUCAAUAAAAUCAAGUUGUUGAGUGAAACAAGACAAGGUAGAGACACAGACACCUCCACAAUUACAAUCUGUGGCCUCUGUUUGGGACUUAGUAAAUGGAAAACAUUUGGAGUUGGUUGAGACCAUCUAAAAUGGCAUCUCUGGUGCCAUCUCUGGUAUCCCAUCUCACAGAAACCUCUGAGGGUUGCCCAAGUGCUGUUUGCCUCAAGUUAUCCUUAACUGAUGAGGGAGGACCAGAAGUGGGGGCUGAGCAGCUGUUGGCCAGAAGAGUUACCCUGGACCUUGGGCAGGAGUGGAUAUGGAAUCACAUCACACAAAGGGACAUAUCUAUAACACAAGACAAAGGCAGAAACAGUCACCUUGGGAGGCAUUUGUAACUCUUCAUUUACUGGAGAGGCAGAGAGAUGGCAGAUGAGGGUCCAUUCUCUGCUGCUGAAGGAGAACCUUUGGAUGGAGGGGAGCUGUGUGUCCUAGAAAAGACAGAUGACCAGAUGUGGUCCCAUCGUGUGGCCUGAUGCACAUCCUCGUGCAGCUCUGGUCAGGAGCAAGUGGAAGAGCAUACCUUGGUCAAGAUGUUGGUCUCUUCAGCACACAGGUACAUUUUAUCCCCUUCUGCACUCUUUGGGGGUCUCAAAGCUGUUCCUGAAGGGAACUAGGAAAAUGCAAACUGACUUUUCGAGAACAGCCCAACUGCUGUGCUGAUUCGGCUAUCUACCUCCAUCAUGAAUCAAGCACAAACCCCUUGUAGUAUUUAAUAGAGAUAGCCUCCCCAAGUACUCUUUUUUUUUUUUUCUUCCAACAACUUCCUGCUUACUGUAUUACAAGCCAGAGUUAGUGUCUUUAUAUUUUACUAUCCUCAAUGACUUUUUCUUCCCUGAGGUUUUCCUGCUGCUUUUUUGAACCCAUGAAAGUUAGGUCAACCACAUUCUCUUGUGAUGAAGACUUGCACAACUUAGGUAUGAACAGUAAGAAGAGCUAUACGUUCCUGAUCUCCUAGGCUCUCACUGGCAUCUUUAGCUUGGUGAAAGCUUCAGCCUUGCUAAGAGGUUUGCUGGAAACCAGUAACACUGGCGAUGCUGAUAAGUACCAGUGGGUGGCAAUCUCUUAUUGGAACCAAUCCUGCACUGUGGGUAGGUUCAUUUGGGGUGUUCAUUUUUGGUUGGCUCUGAAGUGCACUGCUAUGGGUAUAGAUAGUCAUUAGCUUUCUGACACGCGUAUUUUUCCAUUAACUUGGUUUCCUUCUGUUCAAAUAGGAAAGCAGUUUCUGUUUUUGACGCACAGGUGUGUUGGUGUCAGUGCCCAGCCCCUAGAAAAUAGCUUUCUUGUUAACAUCCAACACCAGACUUGCUGGUUUUACCAGGAAUGGAAGAGGAAGUUUGAUUAACUGCUCGUAUGAGGUGAUAAAAAUAAACCCCCAACCCACUUACACUGAAGCAGAGAAGCACUCAACAAUUCAGGGUGAUGCAGCUGACCUUGCAUAGGAAGAAGCAGAAGCAGUUGCUGAUAUAAAACACUUUUUUCUUCUCUGGUACAUCUGCUCUUAAAACGAAGAUCGCAAUGAACUCAAUAGUGAGAGGGACUCAAAGUGCAGGUGGUGUGUUUUUAUGGAGGUGGUUCUCUAUAAAGGGCUGAUCUCCUCUGCAGGACAAUACAGAUCUAAAAGGACCUGCUGAAGGACUCAUGGGUUUUGACAUAUAGCAAACUUAGAUGUCCCUUUGGGAUCCCUUAAUUAGCUCUAAUAAUUGCUUUGGUCAUAACCACAGAAAGCCAUCUGCUUGAGAACAACCUUGCUAGAGAUAAUUGAGCCUGUUGGAGCUCCCUUUAUAACAUAUGUGGUUCCUCCUAGGAAGGGAUUAUGUGGAUUUAGAUUAAAUUUUGGCCAUUGUUGGUGAAUAUUUAGGGAAAUGUGUGAAGACAAAGCUGGAUCUGUCACUUAAAUGUAGGUUCAAGCAGCGUUCAGCCUUUGUGCAAGAGGAGAGUUUGCGUUACAAGUGGGUUUUAGGGACUGCAGGCUGUGUGGAGGGAAACUGCUAGGAUGUGGUAGGACUUGCUCAUCUUGUAUCAUUAUCUUGUAUCAUCAUCUUUUAACAUGUCUUUGGUAGGGUCAGUCCC